GCGGGGGUAGCUCAAUGGUAGAGCAUCUGCCUUCCAAGCAGAGGGUUGCGGGUUCGAUUCCCGUCUCCCGCUCCA
rnacentral:tRNA from 2 species